rnacentral:rRNA from 1 species
UUAAUGCGCCCAAUCUCGUCAGAUCUCGGAAGCAAAGCA